rnacentral:RNase_P_RNA from 1 species
UGAGUAGUGCAGAUGAUCGCGGCUGCAUUCGUGCAGGUGAGGAAAGUCCGGGCUUCAUAGGGCAGGAUGCCGGAUAACGUCCGGUGGAGGCGACUCCAAGGCCAGUGCAACAGAAAUAUACCGCCAUGGCGAAAGUUGUGGUAAGGGUGGAAAGGCAGAGUAAGAGACUACCGCAUUGCUGGUAACAGCAGUGGCACAUGUAAACCCCAUCCGAAGCAAGACCAAACAAAAGCGUUACAAAGGCUGCCCGCCAAGCUUUAGGUAGGUCGCUUGAGCCUGCUGGUAACAGCAGGACUAGAUAGAUGAUCGUCACAGCUAUGCUGACAUAACCCGGCUUAUAGCGCUGCUCAUUUU